GCAGCUUCAAUCUAGCGGGAGGGGUGUACAGGCAAGGUACAUGUAGUUACCACAGUUUCACCUCGGGAAGGUCUGAGAUUAAGUCAAUAAACGUUCUAGCCGGACGGUAUCAUAAGGGUACGUACGGGAAUCAGAAAUAGCUUUUUGUUACCAAUUAGCCCAGGAAACUUCGUACGAAGUAGAGGUAUUUGGGAACGAAAAGAUGGAAACCCGUAUGAUUCGCUAUUUGAGUACAAUCCGCAAGCCAAAAGAUUUACAUUUUGGAACUCAAUUCAGACUAAUCUGAAGCUGC
rnacentral:RNase_P_RNA from 1 species